rnacentral:rRNA from 1 species
UACGUAGGAUCCGAGCGUUGUCCGGAUUUACUGGGCGUAAAGGGUGCGUAGGCGGCCAACUAAGUCAGACGUGAAAUCCCUCGGCUUAACCGGGGAACUGCGUCUGAUACUGGAUGGCUUGAAUCCGGGAGAGGGAUGCGGAAUUCCAGGUGUAGCGGUGAAAUGCGUAGAUAUCUGGAGGAACACCGGUGGCGAAGGCGGCAUCCUGGACCGGCAUUGACGCUGAGGAGCGAAAGCCAGGGGAGCAAACGGG